ACCUCGGGCGGGAGUGGGAAAAAACGGAUAGCACAAAGACCCGAUGGCGGAGCCACGUGUGUGAAAGUGCCUGGGCGCCGAACACUUUUUUCCCGUUACACCAUAGCGACUUUGCAAAUGGAUAGGCGUCGAUGCUCCGACUCCCAGUGGGACCCGGAAGAUUGCCGCAGGUGCCACAGGCCUCCUGGAGUUCUGCCUGGCGCACAGAGGCCAAACACCACACUUGCAGAUUUCGCCUGAAGGCCGGUGGAAAAGACAAUCUGGCUGUAGGAGGUGACAAGGAGAAGGGAAAUGAGAAAUAAAUGAGUAGGAGAAAGAAGAAGAAGGAAGACAGGGAGGAAGUGGAAGGAGGUGGGAGGCAAGGAAUACCACGCAUAAAAGUCAUGGGGACAGUGACUGCUUCCUGGAGGAACAGGGUGAUAAGCAUUGCUCCCUGGUCCCAGGACAACCCAUCCCCAUUCCUGUCCUUGUACACAAGGAAGACGUCUCUGGUGAUUUGGAAGAUUCUGAUACAUAGAUCAACAAUAGUUCAUCACAGAGGCCCCACUGAGACCCAGUCUGAGCUGCCUGUUGCUGCAAGACCCCAACCUUCAAGCAAGUGUGGUGCCCACAGAAGCCCCUUGUGCCUUGCUGCUUGCAGCUUGUCCAGUCCCUGAUGCCAUGAUGAUGAUUUGGAUCUCCACGGCCAACUCUGGACUAGCUGAUUUGAACAAAAUCAUUCAUUUGAGAAGCAUCUUAGAAAAAGGAAGGACCCUAAUUGGCAAUACGUUUUGGUUGCUAUGUUGAGACCUCCAAGGGAAAUUCUGAAUCAAAAACGGUCUCACUGAAAGAUUGUUUGGACAAAGCUAAUGAACAAUUUGACAUACCUAAACAAGAAUAAAGUAGAAAAACCUCUUUAGUAAA